CUGAUCCCGCCCGCCGGCUGAGGAAACCUAAUGCGCAUGCGCGGCAAUGCUGCGCACGCGCAUUAGAGCUCUCCAUAGGAAAGCAUUGAAAAAAAAUUUCAAUGCUUUCCUAUGGGGAAUUGAGCAACAAUGGAGGUCCUCACAUAGCGUGAGGACGUCCAGCGACGCUCUAGCACAGGUUUCCUGUGCUAUGGACAUGGAAGUGCCCUCUAGUGGCUGUCUUGACAGCCACUAGGGGAGGACUUAACCCUGCAAGGUAACUAUUGCAGUUUAUAAAAAAGUGGGAGUUGGCACGCAGACCACUCCAAUGGGCAGAAGUGGUCUGGGUGCCUGGAGUGUCCCUUUAACAGGUUGUGUGACUGUUAGCCAGAAUGGACAGCCAGGUUAAAAAUAAAAUAAAUACAUUUUUUAAAAAGUGCCAAUUUCUGUUCAAAUCUGCACUUUGUAAAAUAAAAGAGGACAGACAAUUCAGC